AGCAGGUUAAUAAAUCGAGUACUAAUUGGAUUUUGUUGUCCCUACACAGGCCAGCACAUCGACUGAUUACAUUCAGCUGCCUCUCUCAAGGGAUGUUGCAUGCCAGACGGACCACGUGGAAAGUUUGAAAACGCAUACUGUAGGCACACAGCUAUCCUUUAGGACUUUGCGGCCCCACAUUAAAAGUGAAGGUGUCCAGGCAACUGUCUUCUGCAAGGAUUUCGGUGUUGAGACAUCCAAUGCAGACCCUUUGUGCCUGUCAUCGACACUAGUAAAGAGACAUCCAAAAGACCUCGGGUAGACCUUGAGGAAGAACUGGAGGACAAUCCAUUGGAGGGCAGCUCUUUAGUGGAAGCUUCUAAGGGACCGGAUUCCACUUAUGAUCCUUCUGACUCCAUCACAGCAUUGUUAGACUCUACACUUAAGUCAGAAGAUUCAUCCACUGCAACACA